rnacentral:rRNA from 1 species
GGGUGAGUAACACGUAGGCAACCUGCCUGUAAGACUGGGAUAACUCGUGGAAACGCGAGCUAAUACCGGAUAACACUUUUCAUCUCCUGAUGAGAAGUUGAAAGGCGGCUUUUGCUGUCACUUACAGAUGGGCCUGCGGCGCAUUAGCUAGUUGGUAAGGUAAUGGCUUACCAAGGCGACGAUGCGUAGCCGACCUGAGAGGGUGAUCGGCCACACUGGGACUGAGACACGGCCCAGACUCCUACGGGAGGCAGCAGUAGGGAAUCUUCCGCAAUGGACGAAAGUCUGACGGAGCAACGCCGCGUGAGUGAUGAAGGUUUUCGGAUCGUAAAACUCUGUUGUUAGGGAAGAACAAGUGCCAUAGUAACUGAUGGCACCUUGACGGUACCUAACCAGAAAGCCACGGCUAACUACGUGCCAGCAGCCGCGGUAAUACGUAGGUGGCAAGCGUUGUCCGGAAUUAUUGGGCGUAAAGCGCUCGCAGGCGGUUCUUUAAGUCUGAUGUGAAAUCUUACGGCUCAACCGUAAACGUGCAUUGGAAACUGGGGAA